ACAGAAAGCUAUAAGCUAAGAACCAAAGCUGUGAAAGUUUGCCAAAACAAUACCUGCAGUGGAGACCUUGGCAUACCGUUGAUCCAAUUCUCUAUAGACCACUUAAGUCAAGACAGAUUAGAGAGAUCCAACGGGCACUAAAACAUUUACUUACCUAAAACAGCUGGAGACAUUGGCAGUUUGGAUCCAUUCAAUCACCACAAAGUGCCCAAUUAGAUAUAUACCUGUUUUCAAACCGCUAUUGAAUUCUAUUCAUCAAGUGGAAUCUGCAUUUGAACACUUCCAUAGAAAGUUUGAAAUGACUAUGAGGUAUUGACUAGGUUUUCCUGGAAACUUGCUUACCACUCAACUUCAUAUAUUUGGGUGUAUUGUUUCUUAUAUUUGUUUUUUUGUUUUGGCUCACUCAGAAGAGGGGACCCAUCAAUCUCUGGAGCAAAAGAUGGUGGUAGAAGUAGAAAACCUGCUAAUUUUUGCUUGCUAAUUCUAGCUUUUUUUUGUUUUGUUUUGGUUUGGUUUGGUUAUAAAUAGAUUCGUCCCUUUACUUCACUGGGUUCAGUUUAGUUUGGUAAUGUGGCCAUAAUUAGCAGACUAAUUUGAGUUUUAAAUAGAAAUCCUUCAAUUCUAUAUUUUGUAGUUUUUCA